rnacentral:rRNA from 1 species
CUCGCGGCCUAUCAGCUUGUUGGUGAGGUAAUGGCUCACCAAGGCGUCGACGGGUAGCCGGCCUGAGAGGGUGACCGGCCACACUGGGACUGAGACACGGCCCAGACUCCUACGGGAGGCAGCAGUGGGGAAUAUUGCACAAUGGGCGGAAGCCUGAUGCAGCAACGCCGCGUGAGGGAUGACGGCCUUCGGGUUGUAAACCUCUUUUAGCAGGGAAGAAGCGAGAGUGACGGUACCUGCAGAAAAAGCGCCGGCUAACUACGUGCCAGCAGCCGCGGUAAUACGUAGGGCGCAAGCGUUAUCCGGAAUUAUUGGGCGUAAAGAGCUCGUAGGCGGUUUGUCGCGUCUGCUGUGAAAUCCCGAGGCUCAACCUCGGGCCUGCAGUGGGUACGGGCAGACUAGAGUGCGGUAGGGGAGAUUGGAAUUCCUGGUGUAGCGGUGGAAUGCGCAGAUAUCAGGAGGAACACCGAUGGCGAAGGCAAAUCUCUGGGCCGUAACUGACGCUGAGGAGCGAAAGGGUGGGGAGCAAACAGGCUUAGAUACCCUGGUAGUCCACCCCGUAAACGUUGGGAACUAGUUGUGGGGACCAUUCCACGGUUUCCGUGACGCAGCUAACGCA